AUGGGUAUGAACAUACUUGUGGGGGAAAUUCCAUAUAACAUCGGAUAUACCCUUCCAAACAUCCACACUUUGAUUAUGCAAGGAAACAACUUCACCGGACAAAUCCCCAUUUCAAUAGCCAACACAACCAAUCUUCAGGUGAUCAACCUCCGUGACAAUUCAUUCCAUGGUAUUGUUCCUUCUUUUGGGACUCUUCCUAGUCUAGUAGAUCUGAAUCUAGGCUGGAACCAACUUCAAGCAGGAGAUUGGUCUUUCUUAUUCUCAUUGACCAAUUGCACACAACUGGAGAAGUUGCGCUUGGAUGCAAACAACCUUGAGGGUGUCUUGCCCAAUUCCAUUGCAGGCCUUUCAAAGAGUUUAGAGUUAUUGUUAUUAAGAUCAAAUAGAAUAUCUGGCACUAUACCUUUGGAGAUACAGUACUUGACAAGCCUCAGACGUCUUUACAUGGAACAAAAUUUGCUUACUGGAAAUCUUCCUGAAUCAGUUGGAAAUCUUUCCAACUUGUUUGUCUUAAGCUUGUCUCAGAACAAACUUUCCGGAUCAAUUCCACUUUCUGUCGGUAAACUGAGUCAACUGAGUGAGCUCUAUUUACAGGAAAAUAAUUUUAGUGGCCCUAUCCCAGGAGCUUUAGCAGGUUGCAAGAAGUUAGAAACACUAAACCUUUCUUGUAACAGCUUUGAUGGGAGAAUACCAAAGGAGUUGUUUUCUCUUCCCUCCCUUUCCCAGGGUUUGGACUUGUCCCACAACCAACUCUCUGGACAGAUACCUCCGGAGAUUGGCAGCCUGAAAAAUCUUGGGCCACUGAAUAUUUCCCAUAAUCAACUGUCUGGACAAAUACCCCCCACUCUAGGUCAGUGCGUCCAUCUGGAGUCCCUCCACAUGGAGGGUAACCUCUUUCAUGGGAAAAUCCCUCGCUCCUUCAUAAGUUUGGGAGGCAUCAUUGAGAUGGAUCUAUCUCAAAACAAUUUAUCAGGUGAAAUCCCUGACAUCUUUAAGUCCUUUAAGUCUAUGAAGCUUCUCAAUUUGUCCUUCAACAAUCUCGAGGGUCCUGUACCAGCAGAUGGAAUAUUUCAGAAUGGAAGAAAGGUUUUUAUUCAAGGGAACAUGAAGUUAUGUACCAGCACGCGAUUGCUACGGGUGCCAUUUUGCAAUGCAGAGGCAUCCAAACAAAGGAAUAGCUCCAGCAUUCUCAAGAUAGUAGGAUUUACAGUUCUCUCUUUGGUCCUGUUAUCAUGCUUUGCAACCAUUAUUUUGAAGAAGAAAAAGAAACUCAAACAAGCAGCUCAUCCAUCCUGCAAAGAGUUGAAGAAGUUCACAUAUGCUAAUUUAAUGAGGGCAACAAAUGGUUUCUCAUCAGAUAACUUGAUCGGUUCAGGAAAAUAUGGGUCUGUGUACAGAGGUAGAAUUGAAUCUGAAGAACAUGAAGUUGCCAUCAAAGUUUUCAAACUCAAUCAACUCGGUGCACCAAAAAGCUUCAUUGCUGAGUGUGAAGCAUUGAGAAAUACUCGUCACAGGAAUCUUAUAAGGGUGAUUACUGCAUGCUCAACCAUUGAUCCAACAGGACAUGAUUUCAAAGCUAUUGUUCUUGAAUAUAGUGUUAACGGCGACCUGGGAAGUUGGCUCCAUCCAACAGUCCAUGAGGAUGGUCAGAGAAGGCCAUUGAGUUUCGGUACAAGAAUAGUAAUAGCAGUGGACAUAGCUGCUGCUUUGGAUUACCUCCAUAACCAAUGUGUGCCAUGGCACACUGCGAUCUGA
rnacentral:rRNA from 1 species